GUCGAGAAUCUUUCACAAUGGGGGCAACCCUGAUGGAGCGACGCCGCGUGGAGGAUAAGGUCUUCGGAUUGUAAACUCCUGUCAUGCGUGAACAAGGUUGCUUGGUUAAUACCUGGGCAAAUUGAUGGUAACGCAAGAGGAAGAGACGGCUAACUCUGUGCCAGCAGCCGCGGUAAUACAGAGGUCUCAAGCGUUGUUCGGAAUCACUGGGCGUAAAGGGUGCGUAGGUGGCGUGGUAAGUCAGAUGUGAAAGCCCGGGGCUCAACCUCGGAACUGCAUCCGAUACUGCCAUGCUAGAGUACUGGAGAGGUGAGUAGAAUUCUCGGUGUAGCAGUGAAAUGCGUAGAUAUCGAGAGGAAUACCAAAGGCGUAGGCAGGUCACUGGACAGUUACUGACACUGAGGCACGAAGGCCAGGGGAGCGAACGGGAUUAGAAACCCUUGUAGUCC
rnacentral:rRNA from 1 species